rnacentral:tRNA from 1 species
GGCGGCUGGUGGAAUCAGUCAAUGCUCAACCACCGGGUAACCAUACGCACACACAAGGGAUUUAAAAUCCCUCGGCGUUCGCGCUGUGUGGGUUCAAGUCCCACUCCGGCUACCA